rnacentral:rRNA from 1 species
UACGUAGGGACCAAGCGUUGUCCGGAAUCAUUGGGCGUAAAGAGCGUGUAGGCGGCUUGUUAAGUCUUGCGUGAAAUCUCGGGGCUCAACCCCGAGCGGUCGUGAGAAACUGGCAGGCUAGAGUGCGGGAGAGGAGAGUGGAAUUCCUGGUGUAGCGGUGAAAUGCGCAGAUAUCAGGAGGAACACCGGUGGCGAAGGCGGGUCUCUGGGCCGAUACUGACGCUGAGGAGCGAAAGCGUGGGGAGCAAACGGG